UACGUAGGUGGCAAGCGUUGUCCGGAAUUAUUGGGCGUAAAGCGCGCGCAGGCGGUUUCUUAAGUCUGAUGUGAAAGCCCCCGGCUCAACCGGGGAGGGUCAUUGGAAACUGGGAAACUUGAGUGCAGAAGAGAAGAGUGGAAUUCCACGUGUAGCGGUGAAAUGCGUAGAGAUGUGGAGGAACACCAGUGGCGAAGGCGACUCUUUGGUCUGUAACUGACGCUGAGGCGCGAAAGCGUGGGGAGCAAACAGG
rnacentral:rRNA from 1 species